rnacentral:tRNA from 1 species
GCCGGGGUGGCGGAAUCGGUAGACGCACCAGACUCAAAAUCUGGCACAGGCAACUGUAUGCGAGUUCAAGUCUCGCCCCCGGUACCA